UGCCGAGCUGUUUCCGCCGGGGAGAAGUACUCGCGGGCUUCGUACAGAGGGGGACGUAGUCUGUGGAGCGCGGCCCGCAGGCGAUCGUGGGAUUUAGAACCCUCUCCCGGGGCUCCCACGGGAGGAGGCUGACCGCGGGCCCGCACGCGGCCGCGGGAUGAGCGGGGGUUGCAGGAGGGCGCAGUGUCCCGGCCUCGCCACCGGCCGUGCACAGGGGUCUGUGUGCGGCCACCGCACGAGGUCACCCGCUUCAACUGAAUCGUAUUACUCUCUCUUUUUUUUUUCCACCCAGAAAGCGAAAUACACAGCCCCCAGCGACUUUCUCCCGAGGAGAGCUCCGAGUGGCUUCAGCGCGGGUGACCCAGGACCCUUGCCGAAGCCGUGGGGACUGAGUACCACUCAGAGCUCUGCAAGGAUUGAUGCCGUUGGUUUCCUUCAAAAGCAAGUCUUUGACCCAUUACUGCAAGCCCCUCACUGUCAUUUGACAAGAAGAUUUGUCUGCGUGCACUGAAUGAGAAUCUGGUCCUACUGUGUGCACCUGGACCUGUUGGGUUUGCCUCUUGAUUUGCUUUUUUGGGUGGUCACUGGAUGAGGGCUUCUUUGUGUGGUGGCUGUAAAUAAAUGGACCUUGACCUCA